CAGGAGGCGAGAGGAAAGCUGGGAGUUUGGGUCCUUCGUGGGCAGCGAGCGGAGGCAGACAGAAGAUGGAAGGAGAGAUUAAGAAAGAGCUGGAUACAGGUUUUCCACUUUCUGGAUGUUCCUUAAGAGAAUGAAAGAACUUCUUCUUAAAUGCAGGGUUCUCUCCAGUAAAUGGAGUUACCGGACAGUCCUUAAGUAGAAAUGCAGGAAAGAGCACACUUUGGGAAUUUGAAACACUGGAGUUCUAGUACUCUCUUGCACUCUUUUAAAAAGUCACUCGACAGUUUCUCCUGUCAGAAUUUCCUGCUCAUUGGGAAACAAGGAUGAAAAAGAUACAAUGCUUGCCCUCAUGGAGUCUGCAUUGUAAUAUGGACACAAAACAUUUACUCAUAUAUGGGAUAAUGAGAAACCCAUGAAACUUUAUCUUCAAGAAGUUCCUGUGCCAAGAACAGUCGUAUACUGGAUGGGCAUCUUCAAACUGCACAGUGAUAAUGCUUGAAAUUUAUGGGGCUAGAAGUUUGAAGGUAGCUGCUGAACACUGUGCUUGAAGUCACCUUAGUG